CUCACAUUUAAACUGUAGGGAUAAAUGCUGGCCUUGUUUUCAUCCCUUUUGAGAUUGUUCUUUAUUCCUGUUCCGCCCCCACCACCAAUGCAGAAUGUAAAAUUUUGCCAGGGUAUGUCCAGGUCUGCUACUACUCCACCAACUACUCCCUCAGAGCUUCAAGGACUUGGGCCUCCAUUAUUAAAAGAACUCUAAAGUCAUGGACCAGGCAUACAGCAUAAAUGGGGUAUUUGUGAGAGAGAAUACACAAGGUAUUCUCAAUUUGAAGAGAAUAAAUAUUUCAUAAGGA